AUUGAACGCUGGCGGCAGGCCUAACACAUGCAAGUCGAACGAGUGGCGGACGGGUGAGUAAUGUCUGGGAAACUGCCCGAUGGAGGGGGAUAACUACUGGAAACGGUAGCUAAUACCGCAUACUAUCAGAUGAGCCUAGGUCGGAUUAGCUAGUAGGUGGGGUAAAGGCUCACCUAGGCGACGAUCCCUAGCUGGUCUGAGAGGAUGACCAGCCACACUGGAACUGAGACACGGUCCAGACUCCUACGGGAGGCAGCAGUGGGGAAUAUUGCACAAUGGGCGCAAGCCUGAUGCAGCCAUGCCGCGUGUAUGAAGAAGGCCUUCGGGUUGUAAAGUACUUUCAGCGGGGAGGCGUUACCCGCAGAAGAAGCACCGGCUAACUCCGUGCCAGCCGCCGCGGUAAUUC
rnacentral:rRNA from 1 species